CCUUUUGCUUGAUACAGGUUAACCAUUGGACUGCAACCUUAAGGAACAGGGUCUCCUGGCCUCUAAGCCCAGCGACCUCCUACCUCCAAUUCCCAUCUCAAUAACGGGAUUCCAGGUGUUACUAUACCCAGACUCGGACAUAGGCUCUGUGGAUAUGAACUCUGUCCUCAUGAUUUUGAGCCAACAAUAAACUGGAGCAACGGCAACCGCAGAAAACAUUUUUGAGCGAGGCAUCCGUCCAGGAAACAGGAAUCAACAGACAUGAGAAGGGAGAGGAAAAAAAAGUCACAGAAGCCUGAGUAUGGACCUGGAAUGACCCACACAAGCAGAGGCGAGAGAGAACACUGAUUAUCCCAACGCCUAUCCUGACUUCUGUAUAGUCCUUAAUCCUGUAAAAUAUGUAUUCAUGUUGAUGAUCCCAAGUCUUGGCAAGAUGUUCUCCUGCUGAAUAAAUACAUGAAGAUGAAAACAAUGGCAGUACUG
rnacentral:lncRNA from 1 species